GUCCCAGUUCGGAUCGCAGGCUGCAACCCGCCUGCGUGAAGUCGGAAUCGCUAGUAAUCGCGGAUCAGCAUGCCGCGGUGAAUACGUUCCCGGGCCUUGUACACACCGCCCGUCACACCAUGAGAGUCGGGAACACCCGAAGUCCGUAGCCUAACCGCAAGGAGGGCGCGGCCGAAGGUGGGUUCGAUAAUUGGGGUGAAGUCGUAACAAGGUAAC
rnacentral:rRNA from 1 species